rnacentral:snoRNA from 12 species
UUAUCCUUACCUAAAGACUCACUGUUUAAGAAGCUAACACAGAAGGGUAAAGUAAGUCUCCAUAAAACCCAGGGGAGAGAUUACAGAACUCUUCUUUGGAUCCUGUCUGGAGUUACAGUU